GACGAACGCUGGCGGCGUGCUUAACACAUGCAAGUCGAACGGAAAGGCCCUGCUUUUGUGGGGUGCUCGAGUAGCGAACGGGUCAGUAACACGUGAGUAACCUGCCCUUGACUUUGGGAUAACUUCAGGAAACUGGGGCUAAUACCGGAUAGGAGCUCCUGCUGCAUGGUGGGGGUUGGAAAGUUUCGGCGGUUGGGGAUGGACUCGCGGCUUAUCAGCUUGUUGGUGGGGUAGUGGCUUACCAAGGCUUUGACGGGUAGCCGGCCUGAGAGGGUGACCGGCCACAUUGGGACUGAGAUACGGCCCAGACUCCUACGGGAGGCAGCAGUGGGGAAUAUUGCACAAUGGGCGGAAGCCUGAUGCAGCAACGCCGCGUGCGGGAUGACGGCCUUCGGGUUGUAAACCGCUUUCGCCUGUGACGAAGCGUGAGUGACGGUAAUGGGUAAAGAAGCACCGGCUAACUACGUG
rnacentral:rRNA from 1 species